UACGGGGGGAGCAAGCGUUGUUCGGAUUUACUGGGCGUAAAGGGCGCGUAGGCGGUCAGCACAAGUCAGUUGUGAAAUCUCCGGGCUUAACUCGGAAAGGACAACUGAUACUGUGCGACUAGAGUGCAGAAGGGGCAACUGGAAUUCUCGGUGUAGCGGUGAAAUGCGUAGAUAUCGAGAGGAACACCUGCGGCGAAGGCGGCUAUCUGGACAACAACUGACACUGAGGCACGAAAGCGUGGGGAGCAAACAGG
rnacentral:rRNA from 1 species